rnacentral:rRNA from 1 species
AUUGAACGCUGGCGGCAGGCCUAACACAUGCAAGUCGGACGGUAGCACAGAGGAGCUUGCUCCUCGGGUGACGAGUGGCGGACGGGUGAGUAAUGUCUGGGGAUCUGCCCGAUAGAGGGGGAUAACCACUGGAAACGGUGGCUAAUACCGCAUAACGUCGCAAGACCAAAGAGGGGGACCUUCGGGCCUCUCACUAUCGGAUGAACCCAGAUGGGAUUAGCUAGUAGGCGGGGUAACGGCCCACCUAGGCGACGAUCCCUAGCUGGUCUGAGAGGAUGACCAGCCACACUGGAACAGCGACACGGUCCAGACUCCUACGGGAGGCAGCAGUGGGGAAUAUUGCACAAUGGGCGCAAGCCUGAUGCAGCCAUGCCGCGUGUAUGAAGAAGGCCUUCGGGUUGUAAAGUACUUUCAGCGGGGAGGAAGGCGAUGUGGUUAAUAACCGCGUCGAUUGACGUUACCCGCAGAAGAAGCACCGGCUAACUCCGUGCCAGCCGCCGCAGUAA